AACCCCGGGAGGGGAGUGAAAGAGAACCUGAAACCUUAUGUUUACAAACAGUCGAAGUUUUUCGGAACGACGGCGUACUUUUUGUAGAACGGUCCGGCGAGUUGCAGUGACAUGCGAGGUUAAGGAGUACAGCUCCGGAGCCGAAGGGAAACCAAGUCUUAACUGGGCGUCUAGUAUGUUAAUGCAGACCCGAAACCGGGUGACCUAUCCAUGGGCAGGUUGAAGUUACCGUAAAAGGUAAUGGAGGACCGAACUCACAUCUGUUGAAAAAGGUGGAGAUGACCUGUGGAUAGCGGAGAAAUUCCAAUCGAACUCGGAGAUAGCUGGUUCUCCUCGAAAUAGCUUUAGGGCUAGCCUUGAGGUAAAGUCUAAUGGAGGUAAAGCACUGAUUGGACGCGGGUCCCCAAAAGGAUACCAACUUCUAUCAAACUCAGAAUGCCAUAUAGAUAUACUCAGGAGUCAGACUAUGUGAGAUAAGUUUCAUAGUCAAAAGGGAAAGAGCCCAGACCGACAGCUAAGGUCCCAAAGUGUGUGUUAAGUGGAAAAGGAUGUUAGGUUUCUAAGACAACUAGGAUGUUGGCUCAGAAGCAGCCACUCAUUUAAAGAGUGCGUAACAGCUCACUAGUCGAGAGGUCUAGCGCCGAAAAUGUCCGGGGCUAAAACACACCACCGAAGCUACGGAAUUACCUAUGGUAAUUGGUAGAGGAGCAUUCUGUAAGGACGAAGCACAAUUGAAAGAGAGUGUGGACGAAACAGAAGAGAGAAUGCCGGAAUGAGUAGCGAGAUAUAUGUGAGAAUCAUAUAGGUCGAAUGUCUAAGGUUUCCUGGGUAAAGCUGAUCUGCUCAGGGUAAGUCGGGACCUAAGGUGAGGGCGAGAGCCGUAAUCGAUGGACAACAGGUAGAAAUUCCUGUACUACGUAUAAUCAGAACUGUGGGGACGCAGGAGGAUAGGAAAACCGGAGAAUGGAAAUAUCCGGCUAAGUACAAAGGUGUGAGUGAUAGGCAAAUCCGUCACUAUAAGCUGAAGUACGAAUGGGAGCGAAGAAAAGUAGCGAAGUUUCUGAAUCCACACUGUCAAGAAAAGCCGCUAUUGCGUUAUACGUACCCGUACCGCAAACCGACACAGGUAGACGAGGAGAAAAUCCACAGACCGACGGGAGAAGUGUUGUUAAGGAACUCGGCAAAAUGACCCCGUAACUUAGGGAUAAGGGGAGCCAACGCAAGUUGGUCACAGAAAAGAGGCUCAAGCGACUGUUUAGCAAAAACAUAGGUCUAUGCGAAACCGUAAGGUGAUGUAUAUGGGCUGACACCUGCCCGGUGCUGGAAGGUCAAAAGGAGAGGUUAGCGUAAGCGAAGCUUUGAAUUCAAGCCCCAGUAAACGGCGGCCGUAACUAUAACGGUCCUAAGGUAGCGAAAUUCCUUGUCAGGUAAGUUCUGACCCGCACGAAAGGCGUAAUGAUUUGUGCACUGUCUCGACAACACGCCCGGUGAAAUUGAAGAACCAGUGAAGAUACUGGUUACCCGCAACAGGACGGAAAGACCCCAUGGAGCUUUACUGCAGCUUAAUAUUGGGAUUCGGUAUUGUAUGUACAGGAUAGGAGGGAGACUAAGAAGCUAGCACGCCAGUGUUGGUGGAGUCGAUGGUGGGAUACCUCUCUUAUAAUACUGAAUUUCUAACCUACUUCCGUGAUCCGGAAGAGGGACAUUGUUAGGCGGGCAGUUUGACUGGGGCGGUCGCCUCCGAAAGAGUAACGGAGGCGCUCAAAGGUCUUCUCAGAAUGAUUGGAAACCAUUCAAAGAGUGUAAAGGCAAAAGAAGGCUUGACUGCGAGAGUGACAACUCGAGCAGGUACGAAAGUAGGACUUAGUGAUCCGGUGGUAACAAGUGGGAGUGCCAUCGCUUAACGGAUAAAAGCUACCCUGGGGAUAACAGGCUUAUCUCCCCCAAGAGUUCACAUCGACGGGGAGGUUUGGCACCUCGAUGUCGGCUCAUCGCAUCCUGGGGCUGUAGUAGGUCCCAAGGGUUGGGCUGUUCGCCCAUUAAAGCGGUACGCGAGCUGGGUUCAGAACGUCGUGAGACAGUUCGGUCCCUAUCCGUUGUGGGCGUAGGAAAUUUGAUAGGAGCUGUCCUUAGUACGAGAGGACCGGGAUGGACGAACCUCUGGUGAAUCUGUUGGUAACCAAUGCCACAGCAGAAUAGCCAAGUUUGGAACGGAUAAACGCUGAAGGCAUCUAAGCGUGAAGCC
rnacentral:rRNA from 1 species